rnacentral:rRNA from 1 species
GGUUAAGCGACUAAGCGUACACGGUGGAUGCCCUGGCAGUCAGAGGCGAUGAAGGGCGUGCUAAUCUGCGAUAAGCGCCGGUAAGGUGAUAUGAACCGUUAUAACCGGCGAUACCCGAAUGGGGAAACCCAGUGUGAUUCGUCACACUAUCAUUAACUGAAUCCAUAGGUUAAUGAGGCGAACCGGGGGAACUGAAACAUCUAAGUACCCCGAGGAAAAGAAAUCAACCGAGAUUCCCCCAGUAGCGGCGAGCGAACGGGGAGGAGCCCAGAGCCUGAAUCAGCAUGUGUGUUAGUGGAAGCGUCUGGAAAGGCGCGCGAUACAGGGUGACAGCCCCGUACACAAAAGCGCAUGUGCUGUGAGCUCGAUGAGUAGGGCGGGACACGUGGUAUCCUGUCUGAAUAUGGGGGGACCAUCCUCCAAGGCUAAAUACUCCUGACUGACCGAUAGUGAACCAGUACCGUGAGGGAAAGGCGAAAAGAACCCCGGCGAGGGGAGUGAAAAAGAACCUGAAAUCGUGUACGUACAAGCAGUGGGAGCACAGGUUUACCUGUGUGACUGCGUACCUUUUGUAUAAUGGGUCAGCGACUUAUAUUCUGUAGCAAGGUUAACCGAAUAGGGGAGCCGGAGGGAAACCGAGUCUUAAUUGGGCGUUAAGUUGCAGGGUAUAGACCCGAAACCCGGUGAUCUAGCCAUGGGCAGGUUGAAGGUUGGGUAACACUAACUGGAGGACCGAACCGACUAAUGUUGAAAAAUUAGCGGAUGACCUGUGGCUGGGGGUGAAAGGCCAAUCAAACCGGGAGAUAGCUGGUUCUCCCCGAAAGCUAUUUAGGUAGCGCCUCGUGAAUUCAUCUCCGGGGGUAGAGCACUGUUUCGGCUAGGGGGCCAUCCCGGCUUACCAACCCGAUGCAAACUGCGAAUACCGGAGAAUGUUAUCACGGGAGACACACGGCGGGUGCUAACGUCCGUCGUGAAGAGGGAAACAACCCAGACCGCCAGCUAAGGUCCCAAAGUCAUGGUUAAGUGGGAAACGAUGUGGGAAGGCCCAGACAGCCAGGAUGUUGGCUUAGAAGCAGCCAUCAUUUAAAGAAAGCGUAAUAGCUCACUGGUCGAGUCGGCCUGCGCGGAAGAUGUAACGGGGCUAAACCAUGCACCGAAGCUGCGGCAGCGACGCUUAUGCGUUGUUGGGUAGGGGAGCGUUCUGUAAGCCUGUGAAGGUGGCCUGUGAGGGUUGCUGGAGGUAUCAGAAGUGCGAAUGCUGACAUAAGUAACGAUAAAGCGGGUGAAAAGCCCGCUCGCCGGAAGACCAAGGGUUCCUGUCCAACGUUAAUCGGGGCAGGGUGAGUCGACCCCUAAGGCGAGGCCGAAAGGCGUAGUCGAUGGGAAACGGGUUAAUAUUCCCGUACUUGGUGUUACUGCGAAGGGGGACGGAGAAGGCUAUGUUGGCCGGGCGACGGUUGCCCCGGUUUAAGCGUGUAGGUGUGUGUUCCAGGUAAAUCCGGUUCACUUUAACACUGAGGCGUGAUGACGAGGCACUACGGUGCUGAAGUAACAAAUGCCCUGCUUCCAGGAAAAGCCUCUAAGCAUCAGGUAACAUCAAAUCGUACCCCAAACCGACACAGGUGGUCAGGUAGAGAAUACCAAGGCGCUUGAGAGAACUCGGGUGAAGGAACUAGGCAAAAUGGUGCCGUAACUUCGGGAGAAGGCACGCUGACACGUAGGUGAAGUGAUUUACUCACGGAGCUGAAGUCAGUCGAAGAUACCAGCUGGCUGCAACUGUUUAUUAAAAACACAGCACUGUGCAAACACGAAAGUGGACGUAUACGGUGUGACGCCUGCCCGGUGCCGGAAGGUUAAUUGAUGGGGUCAGCGCAAGCGAAGCUCCUGAUCGAAGCCCCGGUAAACGGCGGCCGUAACUAUAACGGUCCUAAGGUAGCGAAAUUCCUUGUCGGGUAAGUUCCGACCUGCACGAAUGGCGUAAUGAUGGCCAGGCUGUCUCCACCCGAGACUCAGUGAAAUUGAACUCGCUGUGAAGAUGCAGUGUACCCGCGGCAAGACGGAAAGACCCCGUGAACCUUUACUAUAGCUUGACACUGAACAUUGAGCCUUGAUGUGUAGGAUAGGUGGGAGGCUUUGAAGUGUGGACGCCAGUCUGCAUGGAGCCGACCUUGAAAUACCACCCUUUAAUGUUUGAUGUUCUAACGUGGACCCGUUACCCGGGUUGCGGACAGUGUCUGGUGGGUAGUUUGACUGGGGCGGUCUCCUCCUAAAGAGUAACGGAGGAGCACGAAGGUUGGCUAAUCCUGGUCGGACAUCAGGAGGUUAGUGCAAUGGCAUAAGCCAGCUUGACUGCGAGCGUGACGGCGCGAGCAGGUGCGAAAGCAGGUCAUAGUGAUCCGGUGGUUCUGAAUGGAAGGGCCAUCGCUCAACGGAUAAAAGGUACUCCGGGGAUAACAGGCUGAUACCGCCCAAGAGUUCAUAUCGACGGCGGUGUUUGGCACCUCGAUGUCGGCUCAUCACAUCCUGGGGCUGAAGUAGGUCCCAAGGGUAUGGCUGUUCGCCAUUUAAAGUGGUACGCGAGCUGGGUUUAGAACGUCGUGAGACAGUUCGGUCCCUAUCUGCCGUGGGCGCUGGAGAACUGAGGGGGGCUGCUCCUAGUACGAGAGGACCGGAGUGGACGCAUCACUGGUGUUCGGGUUGUCAUGCCAAUGGCACUGCCCGGUAGCUAAAUGCGGAAGAGAUAAGUGCUGAAAGCAUCUAAGCACGAAACUUGCCCCGAGAUGAGUUCUCCCUGAGACUUAAAGUCUCCUGAAGGAACGUUGAAGACGACGACGUUGAUAGGCCGGGUGUGUAAGCGCAGCGAUGCGUUGAGCUAACCGGUACUAAUGAACCGUGAGGCUUAACCCU